AGUUUAAAUACUAAAUAGGGAUAUGUACAAGCUCACUGAAUAUCUCCUCUGCCAUCUCUAAUUUGUGUGAAGCUCAUUCGGCACAUUUUAUUUCAGGUCUCAUAUGGGCUCACGUGCUCUGCUUGAGCUCCUCUUUCCUGUGUCACCAUCUAAAAAGUAUCCUUGGUCAGAAAGCUUAAUACCUCCUCUGAAGACUGAUAAUAUACAUCAUCUUCCUGGACCAGUCUACAAGUGAGGGACAGUGAAUAUUUUGAAUGGCAGCUUUUAGAUAACAAAUCCUCAAAGAGAGAUAGAGUCUUACUCAUCUCUAACAUGUGCUUGACUGUGGAAGACUGCCAAUUAAUAAUGAUUGAGUGAUUUGCUAAAUAAAUAAAAUCUCUGAACAUUGCA